CCUACGGGUGGCAGCAGUGGGGGAUAUUGCACAAUGGGGGAAACCCUGAUGCAGCGAUGCCGCGUGAAUGAAGACGGCCUUCGGGUUGUAAACUGCUUUUAUAAGCGAGAAAUAUGAUGGUAACUUAUGAAUAAGGAUCGGCUAACUACGUGCCAGCAGCCGCGGUCAUACGUAGGAUCCGAGCAUUAUCCGGAGUGACUGGGUGUAAAGAGUUGCGUAGGUGGCAUAAUAAGUAGCUAGUGAAAUCUGGUGGCUCAACCAUUCAGACUAUUAGCUAAACUGUUAAGCUCGAGACCGUUAGGGGUAACUGGAAUUUCUAGUGUAGGAGUGAAAUCCGUAGAUAUUAGAAGGAACACCAAUAGCGUAGGCAGGUUGCUGGGACGGUUCUGACACUAAGGCACGAAAGCGUAGGGAGCAAACGGGAUUAGAUACCCUUGUAGUC
rnacentral:rRNA from 1 species